UGAUUUCAGUGACUCAGUUUGAGGAUUUUUAUGAUUUUUUUACCCACAAUCAGAGACUUGACCACAAUCUGAGCUGAGUCAGAAACAUCCAAACAGUCGGACUAAUAAAUGUGAUUAUUAUUAUUAGAGUGAUUGAAAAGCUCAUAACAACAUGUAGAUCUGUCCAAAGUCUGAUUCUAGAUGUCUUUACAAACACACUGAUCCAACAGAAGCAGACAGAAAUAUCCAUCGAUCACAUGAACACAAAUAUUCAGCAAACAGAGAAAGAAACAGAUCAUCUGAAGAGUUUUUGGGGACGACUGGAAAGACUUUAGACGCUUGGAUUUGGGACAGGAAAUAAGGUCGUCCUUUUUCUGUGAUUUUGACCUCACUUUUUUCUAAAGUCUCAGACCUUCAACAUCUGCACCAACUGAAGGUGAUUUGAACAAACCAUCAUCUUGAUGUUGUUGAUAUCAAACUUGAUGAAGAUUUUUCAACAUGAGAAAUACAAACAAUCAAAGUUCUCCACAAUCACUGUCCUUAAAGCUGCGACCAAAUCAGCAUCUUUAGAAAAGAAUCAAAAAGCUGAAAUGAAGAACUAAACCCAGAGUUUUUGGUGAGACUGAUCCACAAACAUUUACAAACCAGAACAUUUCAAGAGUUCAAGGAUCUCAGUCCAUGAUUUUGGUCUGAUGGACUCAAAAUUCUCUUUAUUUCAGUUUAAUAAACCUAGCAGAGUCUCCAUCAGACCAGUAAAACCUCAGUCCAGCAUGUAGAGGUUCAGUGAAUGUGGUCUGGACUCUGUGGAGGAGAGUCAUGGUUUCAGAGGCGCUGUAGAAGGACAGAAUACCUGCGCUGUGAUCCAGGUACACUCUUACUCUGGAGGACUGAGGACCAAAGACACGAGUGCGAACACUGUUGUGAAUAAAUUCAUACCUGUCUUUAUAACAGUCUAACCUCCAAGAUUUGUCAUUUUCUCCAAAUCCACAAUCAUCUGAUUCUCCGUCUCUGCUGAUAGUCUUGUAUGCGACUGCUACACCAACCCUGACCCCGCUCCGCUCCACCUCCCAGUAACAACGUCCAGUCAGACUCUCUCUACUCAGGACCUGUUCAUAAUCAGUGAAUCUGUCUGGAUGAUCAGGAUAAGACUGUAGUUGUUCUUUAAAUGUUGCUCUUCUGUUUUCCUCAGAUAAAUACAAAUAUCUGUUUACUGUGUUUGGAUCCAGUGUGAUUUUUUGGUAAUAUCUUGAGAAACCAGCUCUGGUCUUGGGUUCUGCUGGUCCUGGUGGUUCUGACAGUAAAACAUCCACUUGAGUCACAGCCUGUGAGACGUUUGUCCACGUCUCUGUCAGAAGAUCCUGGAGUUUCUCUCUGACCUCUGACACAGCUGCUGUCACCUCCUCAAAGUAUCUCAGAGGACGGAUGUUGAUUCUGGAUGAGUCUGCAGGUUGACCCGGUUCUGACAGUGAGGAGUAGCUGUGCAGAAACUGGUUGUGGUCCUCUGUGAGUGAGAGCUUCUGCAGAUCAGCGUCUUUCCUCUUCAGCUCAGUGAUCUCCUGCUCCAGUUUCUCCUGAAGCUCUUUGACUCGACUCACUUCACGUUCCUGCUGGAAUCUGACCUGCUGCUCCACCUCAGAGCGGCGUUUCUCCAUCAGACGGAUCAGCUGGCUGAAGAUCUCCUGGCUGUGCUCCACAGCUUUAUCAGCAGAGCCGUUGAUAGCCUCCACCUCCUGUUGGAGCAGCUUCACGUCUUCUUCUCUGUCCUGGAUUCUCUGCUGGAUGUUUUCUCGACUCUCCUCCAGAUCUUUCUGCCUCUCAGUCCUUUCUGCUGCAGCUAAGACUGUGUCGUGACCUUUGUGUUGGUCCAAACAGCAGAGAGAACAGAUGGACUUCAGAUCAGUGCGGCAGAAGAUCUUCAUCACCUUAUCAUGAAGAGAGCAGAUGUUCUCCUGGAGCUUCUUGGAGGGCUCCACCAGCUUGUGUUUCUUAAAUGUAGGAGAUUCAAAAUGAGGCUGGAGGUGAAUCUGACAGUAAGAAACCUGACAUUGAAGACAGGACUUGACAGCUUUCAGUUUUCUCCCACUGCAGACGUCACAGGCCACAUCUUCAGGUCCAGCCUCAGAGGAACCAUCAGGAGCAGCUUGGAGUCCACUCUUCUUCACUUCCUCCACUAAACCUGCUAACAUGAUGUUUUUUAUUGGGACAGGCCUCGUUGUGAAGGUCUCUCUACACUGAGGACAGCUGUAGAUCUUCUUCUCAUCCUCAGUAUCCCAGUAGGAUUGAAUACAGCUCAUGCAGAGGCUGUGUCCACAGGAAACAGUCACCGGAUCCUUCAGAAGAUCCAAACAGAUGGAACAAGAGAAAGACUCACGGUUCAGAUGAACUCCUUUCUGCGCCAUUUCAACACUCACUGUCGACGACGACUGACUGAGUUUCAUUUCCUGAGAAGUCAAACUAGUCCGAGCUCUGAUCUCAACAACAUGUGUGAGUCAGCAGGAUCAAGUCAGCACACGGAGGUUACACCCAACCAAGACUGUAGAUCUGAGGGGGAGGGAGCAAGGUAGGGAAGGGAACAAGGAAGUGAGAGUGCAGAGUGGAGUGAGCUGUGAGAGACGAGGGGGGGGAGACAGUUUUUCUACAAUCCAGGAGGAGGCGUGUCUCUGUGAACUUUAGACUCUCAAACUCCAACAAGCAGAAGUUCUUAAAGCUGCAGCCGUCCUGAAGAUCAACUGAACCAACAUUUAUUCACCUCAUAGAAACCUCAUCGAGCAGAAACACACUUCAACUGUUUUAGAGCCUCACAGAGUUAAAGAUACAACACAGAGAAACACUCCCUCUCUCUCUCUCUCCCUCUCUCUCUCUCUCUGUCUCUCUUGCGCAAUUGAACGUGAAUCACCAAGGUUGUGCAAGCUCAGCUGUACUCCUCACUCUCUAUACUGACAGCUGUCGUACUGAGGAAUGUGUGUCUGAACGUCGUCCUGCCAGACAAGACCAGUACGCUCUAAAGUACUCAGAUGAUACAGUUUUAAUUUCCCUGUGAGAAAGUUCCAGUGAUCCUGAACUUACACAGAGUAAACAGGGUGGUUGAAUGGAGUGAUAACAAUGCUCUCGUCAUUAACACAAAAAAGACAGAAGAGAUUGUUUUUGGUACACCACCAGUGACACACAGAUCUCCCGUUACUAUUCAGGGUGAACAGAUCAACCAGGUAUGUUGGUAUCAAUAUCUAGGUAGUAGUCUUUGACCAUCUCUUGUCAUGGAAAGACCAGAUUGAAUCAGUGUGUAAGAAAACAAAGCGGAGAAUCUACUUCCUUCGCCGUUUAAGAUCUUUUGGUGCAAGUAGACAGAUCCUUCUUUUGUUUUUGACUUCUGUUAUUAUGAGUGUUCUUCAGUACUGUAGGACCACAUGGUAUGGAUGUUUGUCUGCAGCCCUAAAAGCACAACUGCUGCAACAACUGAACAUUUGCUCAAAGAUUGUUGGACAACCACUUCAUAGGCGAUAUACAUCUAUGUAUGACAGACAGCAGUGUCCUGAGGUUAGUAAGAAAUAUUACCUCAAACACGAGCCAUAUGUUGUCUGGAGAAUAUAGGCUGCUGCCCUCAGGAAGGAGAUAUGGCGUUCCAGCAAACAAUGAGGUCAGACUAAAAAGGUCCUUUGUCCAUCAGUCGACCUUAAGGCUUAAUCAGGAGUUUGGCCAGGGGCAAGAAGGGUGGACAUCAUAUCAUAUCAUAUCGAUCCACGGGUUCUUGUGAGUUCUCGGGAUUCCUGCUGUUCGUAAUCCUCCACGAAAUUCGCCUCACAAACGGAUCCGGUAGGAAUUGGCAAACAAAAAACCGCCACUGUUCAAGAUGCGGUGAAAAUCCCGGGUUGGAGGAUCUGGAGAAAUCUCUGUACUAAAGGGGGGCAAAGACCAGAACCAAGACUGGAUGGUCCUGAUCUUCAGGGCAUUAAAAACAGACAGGACUCUGGAGUGGAAAUCACCGUAUGGAGUCUCAACUAAGUCCAGUUGUCCUUUCAGCGAAGAGCUGGAGAUCAUAGAUGCUGCAUCCUCAGUUUUAAAGACUAGAGUCCACCAGACUUGGUCUGGGAUCAUCAGAGUCCAUGUCAUGGGUAUCUUCCACAUCUGUGAAGGUUACGUUGAUGCUGAACAAGAUCUACAGGUUUAGGAGCAACAUCUGCGUCCAUCCAGACACAGACUUUCACUGUCAGACUCCAGAACCUGGUCUGCUGGGUUCACUAAGGUCUACAGAACCUGGUAAAAUGAGUCAACACAAGUUUCAACUUUUGAUUUGUUGUCUCUCCUCUGUUUUCCAAACUCUGAAUGGAGGAAGUGAAGGGGAACCAAAUGGAAGUGACGUCCUGUCCUCCUCCUUCUCCUCUCCAUACUGUUGUCACACAAACCCCUCCCCUCUGUGCUCCAUGAUAACUCCUCCCCUGAACCUGUAUCGCCCUCCCCACGACACACCCCCUCUGGCAGAAGAUCCUACGCUAGUUUCAAAUAGGAUUCACCGUGUUGGCCAGCUCUGCUAGCAAGCGCCAUCUGCAGCUUUCCCCAUCUGUAAAUGCAAUUCGGGGAGGAUAACAUGGGUUCGAUCAUGUGACUUCACAGCUGUGUAGAAAGUAACACCCACGGGCUCUGUCGCACUUCAUCUCCGUGGAAAAGAAGGGUUUCGAGCAGAGGCGUUUCAUAACCGCUAAGCCGUGUAAAAAGUAGCACCCAGAUUUGAAGCAGAGGCUGAAGUUCGGGUUUUUGGCGACUUCCUAAACCCCGGACCAUCACUCAGGUUAUAUCUCAUCACUCUGAACAUCAGGAGAGCAGCGUUGGACGUGUCUGACGGUGACGUACCGAACCAUGAACUCACACCGACACGUCAGGCCUCCGUCGCUCACAGCCCGCUCUCUUUCAUUUACAAGCAUCCAUGUAUUUGAGACCUUUUGUCCUUUCUCUUUCUUUCCCCCCUCGGAGCGAUCCAAUCGCCCGGU